rnacentral:sRNA from 1 species
ACUAAAGUGGAAAGCUUCACCGAUUUCAAUUUUUACAGACUACUGAUGUACGGAUGCCACUCUAGAUAGCAAUUGUGAAUGUGUCACUUCGGAGAACAAUGAAUCUCAAGCCAAAGUCUGCCGACGUUGCUUUUACUGUGAAAGCUGGAUUGCUUAAUGUGAAAUCAAAUUGCAUGCACUAUGUCUUGCACUGUAUCUCAUUUAUGUACUACCGGUAAUUGAUGGACACAACUUUCCUUGCCCAGAGGCUAUAAUUUUGAGUCUUGUCAUUUCAUUCCUCAUAACAUUAUUUGUGUGCAGUGUUGACCUGGCAAUACAGGUCAGCUGGGCUUGUUUUGUAUAGAUCAUAGUUUUUUUUUUGUUUUCAGCUUGUUAUAGUUUUAUUUGUUAAACUUUUUUUCCCUUUGACUGCGAAAUCCUGAUUUUAUUGAAACAUUUUGCUACAAAAUUGAAAACAUCAGAAUUGAUUCAUUUGUUAGAGGUGAAAAUGCAACAAUAUUAGGAGAUUCUGUGAUUUUUAAAUAUUAGGGCAGAAAUUCCACUGGCUUUUUGUAUGUAUUUUGAUGGCACUUUCAAUUUAUAAUUCUGAUGUUAUAAAUACUCAAGAAAAAUCUUAAGCGAACAUUGUUUUCAACAUCUUGCUGCUUCUCCCAUGUAUGGAGUACUUUAUUAUUGUAAUCAAUUUUACUUUUGUUUACUAAAUGUCACAUUGAUUAUAAAAAACUUAAACC